CGAGGAGGAGGAGGUUGGGGACUGCAAACUCCUUGUGGACCAGGGAACAUGCAUACCAACUGUAUACUCCCCGAAGCGCUUAGUACAGUGCUCUGCACACGAUGAGGUAACUGAAGAACAGAG